CUACGGGCUGCUCCAGUCGAGAAUCUUCCGCAAUGGACGAAAGUCUGACGGAGCGACGCCGCGUGCGGGAUGAAGGCCUUCGGGUUGUAAACCGCUGUCAGUGGGGAGGAAAUGCAUCAGGGUUCUCCCUGGUGUUUGACCGAUCCGCAGAGGAAGCGCAGGCUAAGUUCGUGCCAGCAGCCGCGGUAACACGAACUGCGCGAACGUUAUUCGGAAUCACUGGGCUUAAAGAGUUCGUAGGCGGCCUUUCAAGUCGGGUGUGAAAUCUCUCGGCUCAACCGAGGAAUUGCGCCUGAUACUGUUGGGCUUGAGGGGGAUAGGGGUGAGCGGAACUGAUGGUGGAGCGGUGAAAUGCGUUGAUAUCAUCAGGAACACCGGUGGCGAAGGCGGCUCACUGGAUCUCUUCUGACGCUGAGGAACGAAAGCUAGGGGAGCGAACGGGAUUAGAAACCCGUGUAGUC
rnacentral:rRNA from 1 species